AAGAAAAGUGGUAGACCCCAAGGGGUGGAAACCCCUAGAAGUUUUGAAGUUCUGCCCAAUGGGCGCUCCUGCAAAAAUGUAAACAUAUCACAACCAGACCGGAAGAGAUGAGUUGUAGUUUUUUGUUGUUGAGGAGAGGUGGCCAUGUUGUGAGCCACGAGGAAGGGACUAUAAGCCCCUUGGGCCCUCUGGCCCCCUCCCAGCCCCUGGCUGGGGGGCUGCAGGGACCUGGAACAGCAUAAAGCUGGGCUAGGUGCCUGUAUUAUGCCGGGAGAUGUUUUCUCCAUGGGCACAGAGCAGCAGCCAGCACUGACCAGAGAAACGGUGGCAGAGAGCCAGAGAUAAGGACCUGAACCGGAGGAGCAGCAGAAGCAACAUGCAGCACUGCAGAGAAGACUCCUGGAAAGAGAGAGAGAGACAGAGCCAGCAGCAGAGAGACAGAGUUUGGGGUAAGACUGUACCAGCCCCCCAAAACUCCUUUGAGAUCCCUCUGAGAAAAGAGGGAGAUGGACUCCUAUUAAGAAGAAGAGUUUUAGACAUGCAGCACCGGAGAGAGAGAGGAGCUAAGAAGCUCAGAGAGUCCCGGAGCUGGACCGGGACGGCCAGAUGGAAUGUGGGGGGAGUUGACCUUGGCUUCCCCCCCCCUCGCACUGCUGCCACGGUGGCAGCCUGAGAGACAGGGCACAGAGGCCCUGCAAGAGAUACCAGACCGUCACGAAGACCCCCCUGUGUCUUCGUGAUAUGACGUGGUGAAACGACCUUGUCUGGGGUUACGAAGCCCACGGAAGACCCCUUUGCCUGUGUCAAGGGGGCCGAGGGAGUUUUGGAUACCUCCCUCGUGAGUGCUGGCAGAAAGCCAACUAUCAGCUGCUGCAUGUGGAGAAGACAGACAGAACCUGCUGCCUUAGAAGAUGCUGCUGCUUAAGGACUGGAAGGGAUCUGUCCUUCUUUCCCUCCUGGACUUUUAUUUGGAGGGGAGAAGAGAUCUGAUCCAUUGUAAAUACUAUAUGUCAUGGUAGAGAUAGUUGUGAUCGUGUGUAUAAUGUGAUAUGGUAUUUAUUUGUACAGUCAUUGUAAUAUAUUCCCUUUCCCCCA